UCAAAAAAAAAAAAAACAAACAAAAAACUUGUAAAAUAUAUUUAUUAUGGCAAAUUGUAUUUGCUCAUUUAGGCCCCAAAAUAUGCUUGUAAAAAAUUGAACUUGCCCACUCAACUUGUAAAUGAAUUCAGUGGUUUUAUGAUAAUUCAUGUGUCAUUUUAUAAGGAGGUAUUCACAUUGCAUAGACAUUGAUGGGCUCAGUGAAUGGCUGGGAUAGCUGGAGAACCAGGUUUGAGGUUAUGUAGUAAAAACCACAACCAAAAUUAUGAUGUAGAACUGGUCUGGUGAGGAUAUCUCUGCUGCAUUCCAGAGGGGUAGGUGCUGGAAUGAUGCUGCUGAUGGCACUGGGAACUGCAGGCCACCACUGGCACUGUUGCCACUACUGCCACCAUCUCUACCGCUGCCAGUGGAGGUGUUCCACUGCUCCUGUUUAUUCCUGAGCUCCAAAUGCAAAAUUUAAGAUAGUGCAUCUGAUUACAUACACCUAGGUCAUGUGCUCAGUCCUAGCUGCAAAGAAGGUUGGGAAAGUAGGUAUCUGGCAGUUUCAGCAUUGAUGUUGGGAGGACAGUUAUGCCAUUCACCAGGCCUGUUAGGAUGGGGAAAGGGGUUCCAAUGGGCAGAUCACGAGGUCAGGAGUUCCAGACCAGCCUGACCAACA
rnacentral:lncRNA from 10 species